rnacentral:rRNA from 1 species
UACGGAGGGUGCAAGCGUUAUCCGGAUUUAUUGGGUUUAAAGGGCGCGUAGGCGGCCUUCUAAGUCGGACGUGAAAUCCCUCGGCUCAACCGAGGAACUGCGUCCGAUACUGAAAGGCUUGAAUCCGGGAGAGGGAUGUGGAAUUCCAGGUGUAGCGGUGAAAUGCGUAGAUAUCUGGAGGAACACCGGUGGCGAAGGCGGCAUCCUGGACCGGCAUUGACGCUGAGGCGCGAAAGCUAGGGGAGCAAACGGG